rnacentral:lncRNA from 1 species
CCACAACACAGAAAGCCAAUCACUGAGACAAUGAGUAUUUCCAAGGAAGAAGGCUUCAUUCAGGUCCUGCAGCAGAGGAGAUGGGAGAUCAGUCUCAAAUUCAGUUCAACCCACUAAAAUUAGGAAUUUAUGUAGCAGGGAAGAAAUGUAACCAUAUGAGGGAAAACAGAAAUUAGAGAGGGGUAAGGAGAUACUCCUGAGGAAUAAGGAGUCUGGCAUCUCAUUAUCCUCAUGUGGUAAUCUGGAGGGAUUACAUAGGAAGAGACAUACUAACAGUGCUCUCGGAAUCAACACCUAUGAAAGGAAAGAGAACUCAAUAUUGGACAGAGGGAAAAUUCAAGCUAUGCAUUAUCAACAGAUGAGUUGCCUGCUCCUGUGAGAAGCCCUGGAGGUGGAAUGACUAUACAUUUUUUUUUUUUCCUGAAUCCUAUGCUCAGACACUGAAGAUGGGCCGGCCCAGUAAAGGGGUAUACAUUUGGUCAAAGUGGCUCUUUUUAGUUGAGGCCAUCUCCUGAAAGAGCUUAUAGGUGAGAGUUGUCUGCUGUAGCUGGGGAAUAAAUUUUUAUUCCCAAGCAGAAAUCUCAAUACCCCCAUGCAGUGUCCACAGAGUAUUUUCCCAAAAUGAUGGGGAGAAUUUGGAGCCCUAGGAUUUAUGCAAGGGGUUCAAUUCUAAUUUAUUCACCCUACUCAGGCUCAUACUCCAAUUUUUUUUUUUUUUUUUGCACCUGGUCUGCAUGUUAGAAUACCAGUUUGUAGCUUUUAAACCCUACAGCUUAUUAUAAAUGUUAGGGUUUUCCACUUCUCGUUAAUGCUUUUGCCUUGAUUGCUUGCUUCAAUUUUAGCAUUCUUACAUUUAUCUUCCUUUAGAGUUCAACUCUAAAUUUGUAUUUUAUUCAUAAUUAUUUCAUAGCAUUUUUCAGGUCAUUUUAUUACUGUGUGUUCCUUAGAUUCUAACACCCUAUGUUGUUGUACUGACUGCGUCAUUGAUUCUGUUUCUUGAUGUGAAUUGCAUUUGUUCCCUGUGACUAAUUUCCUGUAAUUGCAGCCAGAGAGGGUUCUGUUUUCAUCAGCUCAGUCCAAGGUGAUCAGUAUUUUCUUAACAUAAUGUUUACCUUGAAUAUAUUAUGAUUUUAAUUGUGAAAUGCUAUUCAAUUUUUUAAGGAUUCCCUCAGAAGUAAUGUGCUCUGUAAAGUUUAGGAGACACAAUAUUUUAUAGAUUUUGCUAGUAAAACCAGAAUUAGAAACUUGUACUUUUUGACAUUGACACAUGCCAUUAUUGCUAUAUAGGAAAUCUCCAUAACAUCAACAUCAAUUUCAAGUAAAAAAUAGGGCACUAUUUAUCUCAAAACCAAGUUAGCCCCAAGUCAUGAUCACAUUAUUGUCAUUUACUCUUUGUAAAUACUGUUACAUGUGACACCUGUCUUUGCCAAUAAAAUCCAUAAUCCUGGAGAGCAGAU